GCCUGGUGGUUCCUGGAGUCGGCUCCAAAGUGCUGAACUCGGGGUCGUUGAAGACAGGCGCACAUUGACUCUGCAAUUUCAUGCAUGGAAGCUGUCGCUCUUGCAGACCUCCAUAGCCCGGUUGCAGAUACAUAG